GGGGAUCCACAAGUGACCGACAGAGCUAGAGUAUGCAGCACUAGUACAGUAGAACAAACUUAUUGAGAUUUGUUGUAAAUAAUCAGCACUCUCUCAAGGCAAACAUAUAGUAUAUGGGCACUACACACGCUUACAAAAUACUACAAAUCGAUCGAUACAUAUAUAUAUAUAUAUAUACUUAUAACUGAAAACAAAACAGAGCAACUAAAAAACAGAGGGGGAAAGAGCAAUGACACAUUCUAAUUCAUCAAGUAGGGCUCAAAUGCGCGAGGUCAUCCGUCCAUUGAUGAGCAAACUAGCACCCGACGGUGAACCACCUCCGGCCAGCCGAUGGCCGGCCGCCGCGCUCCGCCUUCCUCUUCUCCUCCUCGCACGCGCACUUGGCCUCCUUCAGCUUCUUCACCUACCAUCAUUCCAAGUGAAAAUAUGUUUCAGCAGUUCGACAGCUCGAGAUCACUGGUGCAAUGCGAUGGCGUCCAUGGGUGGAUGGACGGAGCUCAUGUACCGUACCUUGGCUGGGUGGAUGGGCUUGUUGCGGUUGAGCUGGCGGGCGCCCCUCUGCAGGAUCUGCACGGCGCUCCAGCUGGCCCCGGCGCCGCC
rnacentral:lncRNA from 1 species